rnacentral:rRNA from 1 species
AAUCAACGCUGGCGGCGUGCCUAACACAUGCAAGUCGCACGAGAAAGCGGACUUCGGUCUGCAAGUACAGUGGCGCACGGGUGAGUAACACGUGAAUUAUCUACCGUCGAGUGGGGAAUAACCUCGGGAAACCGAGGCUAAUACCGCAUAACACUUACGAGUCAAAGCAGCAAUGCGCUUGAAGAGGAGUUCGCGGCAGAUUAGUUAGUUAGCGGGGUAAUGGCCCACCAAGACGAUGAUCUGUAUCCGGCCUGAGAGGGCGCAAGGACACACUGGAACUGAAACACGGUCCAGACUCCUACGGGAGGCAGCAGUGGGGAAUUUUGCGCAAUGGGGGAAACCCUGACGCAGCAACGCCGCGUGGAGGAUGAAAUCCCUUGGGAUGUAAACUCCUUUCGAUCGGGACGAUUAUGACGGUACCGGAAGAAGAAGCCCCGGCUAACUUCGUGCCAGCCGCCGCAGUAAUAC